CUUAAAUAACGCUGUUGAAAUCCGGUCAUUGUGAAGAAAGGAGGUGAUGUACACACUGCCCCUGGAUUAAAAGGUCUCAGAACCAGAAGCAGGAGGGUGUCACAAUUUGUUUCACAAAGAGAGUAGAGAGAGUACUAAUCAGAUUACGAAGCUGCAAUGUCUAUCAAAAGUAUCAUCCUCAAUGAUGAGAUUCUGUAGUCUUACAUGGCAACUCUUCCAAAGGAUGUUGGAAAGAUGUGUUGGAGAGCUAUUCAAGAGUACCCAAAGGUUUAGCUUUUAACAUAGUUAAUAAGUUGUUAUAG